CUCAUGGUGAAGGCAGCUAGCUCUAAACCUCCCUUAGUGAGGGAUGACCUGUGUGUAUGGAUUCAACAUGAAAGACUGAGGAGAUCCGUUAUCAAAAUGUACCAAAGAGUUGUACUGGGACGUGUGCCAGGCACUUGUGAUACAGCCAAUAGAGAGCAGACCAGUUGGAAUCAGACAGCUGUUGCAAAGAUGCCAGGACUGCAUUAGUCCCUCUGCUUCUUGGUCCCACUCUAAGAAUACUAGAAGACAGAGCUGAAGACAGGAUGGUGCUGAACACGCAAUCGUGCACACAGCCUGGAAUCUUCUCUCAAGGAACUGUUUGAAGGCUACUGAGCUGAACAAAGACUCGGAGCAAUUCAACAAGUCUGAGGUUUCUUAAGGCAUUUUUAUUA
rnacentral:lncRNA from 1 species